rnacentral:rRNA from 1 species
AGAGUUUGAUCUUGGCUCAGGACGAACGCUGGCGGCGUGCCUAAUACAUGCAAGUUGAACGAUGAUUUCUGGUACUUGUAUCAGAAUGAAGAGUAGCGAACGGGUGAGUAACGCGUGGGUAACCUACCUCUUAGCGGGGGACAACUAUUGGAAACGAUAGCUAAUACCGCAUAACAAUAUUAAACACAUGUUUAAUAUUUGAAAGUACCAAUUGGUACACUAGGAGAUGGACCCGCGUUGUAUUAGCUAGUUGGUAGUGUAAUGGACUACCAAGGCGAUGAUACAUAGCCGACCUGAGAGGGUGAUCGGCCACAUUGGGACUGAGACACGGCCCAAACUCCUACGGGAGGCAGCAGUAGGGAAUCUUCGGCAAUGGACGAAAGUCUGACCGAGCAACGCCGCGUGAGUGAAGAAGGUUUUCGGAUCGUAAAACUCUGUUGUUAGAGAAGAACGUUGUGUAGAGUGGAAAAUUACACAAGUGACGGUAUCUAACCAGAAAGGGACGGCUAACUACGUGCCAGCAGCCGCGGUAAUACGUAGGUCCCGAGCGUUGUCCGGAUUUAUUGGGCGUAAAGCGAGCGCAGGUGGUUUAAUAAGUCUGAUGUAAAAGGCAGCGGCUCAACCAUUGUGUGCAUUGGAAACUGUUAGACUUGAGUGCAGUAGAGGAGAGUGGAAUUCCAUGUGUAGCGGUGAAAUGCGUAGAUAUAUGGAGGAACACCGGUGGCGAAAGCGGCUCUCUGGACUGUAACUGACACUGAGGCUCGAAAGCGUGGGUAGCAAACAGGAUUAGAUACCCUGGUAGUCCACGCCGUAAACGAUGAGUGCUAGUUGUUUGGGGCUAUCCAGCCCUAAGUGACGCAGCA